rnacentral:tRNA from 1 species
CAGUGAAAAGCCAAAAUAGAGGCAUUUAACUGUUAAUUAAAAAAUUGUAAUUUAUUACUUCGCUGG